GAGGAAGACACGGAUCCAGCGAGGCAGCUCUGCGGGUUUUACCCGGGGAUGAACCCGUGAGAGUGGGAGAGUUCCGGAGAAUAUCUGCGCUGUGUGUCGAUGCACCUUACGAGAGAAUAAGACCAGCAAGCAAGGCAACUGCAAUGAAGCAUCAAGAAAGACGUGGAGAAGCGCCAGCCACCCAUAAUUCAUAAGAAGACAUUUCUGUCACUAACAAAGUGGAUGGUGAGCAAAGGUGAUGGCCACGUUUUAGAGCAGCACCUGGGUUUUGCAGAUGUUUGUCUUCGGCUGUUUGUCUUUUUUCCCCAUUAUGUUUCUGUUGCCUAAAGAUUCUUUGUGAGGAUAAAUCCGGAGGACACAACGUAAUGCACUGCAAAACGUCCUAAGACAGGAGAAAUGGUGAAGAUGCACUGUUCCAGCAUUGGAA